GGUUUAGUUUUAGAAGGUGAGGGGUAUGGUUGGAGUCAUCAUUAACUUUUUUCAUACAAUUAUAGACAUUUCAUAAUGUCACCAGUAUGUACUAUGUUAUUUAUUUUGUUCUAUUUAAUUUGGGUUUAGGAUUUAUAUUUGGGUUUAUGGUUUGUAUUUGGGUUUAGGGUUUAGUGAUUAUGUUUUAGGAUUUAGUAUUUAGCGAUUGGAUGAGGUUGGGAUAAAGUUUAAUAUCUAGAUUAUAGGGGUUGAGAUAGAGUUGAUUUCCUAUACUAUUUUAAAAAUAUGAAUAUGUAGUAGUUUACAUUUUUGUUUGGGUUUAUUGAUAAUGAUUUAGGGUUUAGUGUUUAAAAGUUGGGGUUGGGUUUGGUAUUUAGGAGUUGUGUUUGGGGUUAGAAUUUAAUAUUACAUAAUAUUAUGUACUUUUUAGAUUUUGAUAUAUGGGUUUAGAGUUUUAUAUUUGGGUUAGGGUUUAGUGAUUUGGGUUUAGGGUUUAGUAUUUAGAAAGUGAGGGAGUAUGGUUGGGCUCAAUAUUAACUUCUUCCAUGCAAUCAUAAACAUUUAAUAAUUUUAUUAAUAUGUACUAUGUUAUUUCUUUUGUUCCAUUCAAUUUGGGUUUAGAGUUUUAUGUUUGGGUUUAGGGUUUACUGAUUUGGGUUCGGGUUUUGUAUUUAGGAGUUGGGGUGGGAUUGAGAGACGGUUUAGUAUCUAAAGAUUGGGGUUGAGAUAUGUUUAGUAUUUAGAGGUCGUAGGACUACAUUAAUAAUAUGGUAUAGAACACUCGGUGCAUAUGCAUGUGAUCAAUAAAUGUCUACGUGGAUGUGGAUGACUCCUCUUUCUUUUAUUUGGAAUAGUUUUCAAGUGUUCUUGACCUUAUAUUCUAUUGGCCACGUUAUUUCCCCCACACACUUACCUGAUACCUGUAAAGAGAAAGGAGAAAACCAGGUACUUUAUGGCAUAAAUGUUAGAAACUACAUUAUGUCAAAAUCAAUGACAUUUACCUAAUUUGUAUUGAAAAUAUAGCUAGUUCGCAAAUAAGCCCAAUAAUUAUUUAAAUAAAUAAAAUAAAUAAAUAAAUUAAAAAAAAAAAUAUUUGUAUGUUUCCGAAUUAUACUUUUUCAAAAUCGAAUUUUUUUUUUUCAAUUUUUUUUUCUUCAAAAUUCCCCUUUGAAAAUCAAAAAUUUUGCUUGCAACUAUUUUUAAAAUUUUUUUUUAUAUUUUUUAAGUAUUUAUUUAUAUAUUUAUUAGAAUCCUAAAUUUCACAUUCCAAAAAUCAUACCUCAUCCCUCAACUCUAAACCCUAAGUCUAGAUUAGUUAACUCUAGGGUUAAAAUAUCUUUUACCCUUCAUUAAAAUGGAAGAUAAAAUUGAUCAGUGUAAACAUAAAAAGUGGUACUAUGAAUAUGGUAUUUGUGGCAAUUUUCCAUACACUAUCUAUAUGCUAAGUUGUUCUUUUUUUUAUAAUAACAUUUAAGUACUAUUGGUUAAAAACAUUGAAAAGAUAUUAUUUAAAUUUAUAUAAUUAAUAAUUAAUUAUUGUAUUUAAAUAACUAUGUCUAAAUUAUAUUAGUAAAAAAUAAUUAUUAUAUUUAAAUAAAUUUUGAAAAUACUGAUUUUACGGUUUUGACGAGAAACUCGAUAUUAAGAUUAUGUCAAGCAUAAUUUGCAAUUUUGCUGGGGAAAUUAGAUUAUGAGGCUUGGCGGUAAAGCCUGAUUUUAUGUGUUUGACAUAAAACCUAUGGUCUUGACAAAAAAUCUGAUUUUACGGUUUUGAUAGGAAAAUAAAUUUUGGAGAGGGAGCACAUUUUUAGGUGAAACACAUUUUUGCUGGAAAAUGUGGUUUCGUUUUUGGCAGAAAAUAUGUUUUUGAAGGAGAAUUUUUUUUUUUAUAGUUUUGGCAGGCAUAUGCGUUUAAAAUACAUUUUGCAGGAAAACAUGUUUUACGAUUUUAGCAAGAAAAAACGUUUUUGCGGUAUUGACGGGAACCGUAAUCUUUCAUUUUUUAUGGGAAACAUUAUUUUGUAAAUUUUAUCAAGAAAAUGUGAUUUUCCAAUUUUGGUGGAAAAGUUAAUUUUACAGUUUUGGCAGACGAAAAAAUUGAUUUUCCGGGUUUUGUGGGGAAACAUAUUUUGCGGUUUUGGUAAGAAAAUGUGAUUUUACGAUUUUGGUGAGAAAAUCCAAUUUUAUGAUUUUUGAAAUUUUCACAGUUAUUUUUUAAAAAAAUAAAUUUUAUAUUUUAAUAUAUAUAUAUAGAAUAAUAAUACUUAGUAUUAAUAUAAAUUAGUUAUUUUAUACUGUAGUGAAAGAUGUUUAAGUAUUUUUGAAUUUUGAGAUGUAAAUGAUAUAUCUAAACUCUACAAUUUUUGGAUCUCAAACAAUUAGAUUUUCUAUAUGUUAUGGAUUAUAUAUCAAGAUGCUGCAUCUAGAUGAUGAUACGAUACGAAUAACAUCUGAACAUUUGUAUGUAGAUACAAUAUCCGGCAUAAAAACCAAACAGGACGUUAGUUAAUUUAGUGAACCACUUUAUAUUUUUGUGUCGUUUUUAUAUUGUUUUUUUUUUUCUGAACAACAAGAUAAUUUAAUUAAAUAAGGGUUUAGGUUACAAUAGAUGGACUGCUGAUUAAGUGGGCCGGUAGACAACUCUUCGCGAGCCCAUCCGCAGGUCCAUUAAGGGAUCGUGGAAUGAAAGUAUAAUGACAAGACAGAAACGAAGAGGAAGAUGAAAAAGCUAGGUCGUCGAUAUCGGCGAGAACCCCGAAGAGUUCCGAUGAUCGUCGGCGAGAAGAGAUCGUAUGAACGAGUACUUGAGAGUCUGAUUUGAUACAGAUAUGACGGUAGUUGAGUGAGGCCGCUUGGAGGAGGGCUUCUCGGAUGGCUAGAGCUUCUGCCAUACAAGGAGAGGAGACAAAGUUCUGUGCCGAGGAGCCUCUAUGAAGCUAUUCCGAGGCGAAAUCAAUGAAGAUCCAGGCCAAUCCCGCCGAUCGGGUUCCUCCCUUCCACGAAGCGUCUGUGUUACAUAUGAUUUCGAAAGGGUAACCGACAGCAUCACGAGUGAUGGGUAAGCUUUUAGGAUUUGGGUUUUGUUUGAUUGGUUGCGCCGAUUCCCAUUCUUUGAGGGCUCCUAGGGCUCUUGUAAAUACUUCUAUUGCUGAUUGGUGCCGGUUUUCAAACAUGAGUUGAUUCCUUAAGGUCCAUAAGGUCCAGCAGAUCCACGGGAGAGCAUUACCUGUAAAUCCAAACGGGGGUAGAGGAGCUUGGGUCAUGGAGUAUUGUAGCUUGUCGAAGAACGAAGUUUGCGGCGAAGUGUCCAACUUGUAUUCCCAUGGUCCGAGAUCCCAGACUUCGGUUGCAAAGGGGCAGUGGAAGAGAAUGUGAGAGAUAUAUUCCAAAUCUCCACAACGAGGGCACAUGGUAUUGGAGAGCAAUAUUAUAUUAUAUAUUAUUGUUUAUUCAUUCUGCAUCUAUUCAUUAUAUGUCAUAACAACUAGUACUGUUCGAAAAUGAGUUUUGGACGUUUCCUUACAAACUCUAAACUCGUUGUUGAGUUAACAACAAUCGUAUGAAUGUGCGAAAUUUGAAUGUCGGUACAUUGUUACGCGACACUUAAUUAAAAGACAUUCCGCUAACUGCUCGAGAUUAACUACUUUUCAGUUUUUUUUAUAAUGUAUGCUUUAUUCAUUAAAUGGAUGAAACAUAGUCAAGAUGAAGGUCUGAUGAGAUUGACCUUGGUACAUAAUUAUAAACCAAUAAGAAUUGUUAAAAGGAAUAUUCAUCUUCGCUAAGGUAUCAGCAGCUCUGUUUGCUUCUCUUCUUAUCCAGACGAACUCAUUUGCUUCAAACUUCUCCUUCCACCAAAAUACUUCACGAAUCCAGUUAUAUCCAGAGAAGUAUAAAGAUUUUCAAUUAAGUAGAUCCAUGUCUUUUUUAUAGUCUCCCUCAAUGAUUACCAUUUUAUAUCCUUUAAACCAGCAUUGUUGCAUCACCAUAAGGAUUCCAUGCAACUCACUCUCCAAAGUAUCAACACAUCUUCCUAUCGCAUGUCCUACUCCUCUGUAUGUAUCCCGAUCAUCUCUUAAAAUCCAACCAGCCUUACUAGGAACUUCUGAAUUCACAAAAGAUGCAUCAACAUUACAUUUAAUCCACCCUGAUGGUGGUCGCUUCCAUUGUCUUAUAUGUGGUAUAGCUCCUCCAUAAUCAUUGAUGCCUCUCCGCUUUGAAUAAGUACUUGUUUAUUGUUUAGCCCACUCCUCUGCAUCUUUACACGCUUGUUGUAAUACUUUUCGUCCAUCCACAUAUUUCUGCUAAAAAAUAAUCAUAUUUCGACUCUUCCAAAUCCUCCAAAGUAACCAGAACGGGAGGUUAACCAUAUGUCUCAAUCGAACUGAUGUACAUCAUUGUAAGCAAGCUUCCAUCAUCUCUUCCAGAGUAGCACUUGUGUCUGUCAAUAUCAUAUUUGAGAUACCAGAGGCCCUCCAUAUCUGUUGAGCAUAUGGACAAUCAAACAAUAUAUGUUUCUCUGUUUCUUCACUACUACAGCAUCUGCAACAUUGAUCUUGGUUUGUUACAUGUCGUCGCUUCAGAUUAGACCCCUUGGGUAGACUUCUCGAACUAGCUUUCCAAAGAAAAUGAUGAAUCUUCGAAGGCAUUUGUGUUUUCCACAGCUUCUUCUUGAUGGUGGUGUUUCCAUAAGUGGGUUGAAUAAUCUCUUGAUUUGGCAAAUGAGUAGCCAACCAGUAUCCUGAUUUCACCGUAUAGAUGCCACUAUCAUUAUAAUGCCAUCCAAGAAGAUCUUGCUUAGCCAUUGCUGAUAGCUUAAUAGCUAAAACCUUUGGAAUAUCUUCAUCUGCUACAGAUUCUCUCACUUUUUGUUCAUCCCAUUCAUUGCCUCUGUGUCCAAAUAGCUGAUGUACUUUACCAACUACUGCUCCUGCAAUCCCUGCCCUUGGAGCUCAUGGUGGGUGAUCCGGUAUCCAGGAAUCUGUCCAGGUAUUAACAUAACUGCCAUCUCCAAUAACAUAUCUCAAUCCUUGUUUAACCAGAUCUCUCCCAUAUAGAAUUGACUUCCAUGCAUAUGAUGCUUUUUUUCUUCUGAACUACUGUUAGAAUAUCACCAUCAUGAAAAUAACGAGCUUUCAAAAUUCGAGCCAUCAGACAUCCUAGGUUUUGCAUUAUCCGCCAGACUUGUUUUCCUAGAAGAGCUUGAUUAAAUUUCUCUAAAUCUCUAAAACCCAGUCCACCUUCUCCCUUCGGUAUACUCACUCUUUUCCAUGCAUACCAAUGCAUACCCUUGUUGUCUUCUUUCCCCCACCAGAACCUUGCAAGCACUCUAUUAAUUUCCUCACAAACCUCUUUUGGUAAUCUAAACACAUUCAUAGAGAAAAUAGGCAUCGCCAACGCCACCACCUUAAGUAGAACCUCUUUUCCUCCAGGUGAUAAGUAUUUUUGACUCCAGCCCUGCAUCACUGCCUUGACCUUAUCUAUGAUAUACGCAAACAUAUCACUUUUUUUAUUGGUGAAUUGUUCUGGCAUACCUAGAUAUUUACCAAUGCCUACUUCAUUGUGAAUUCCCAAAAUAUUUCUCAUACGUGUACGAACUGUAGCAGACACCUUAUGACCAAAUGUAAUAGAAGAUUUGUUCAUAUUAGCUGCCUGUCCCGAAACAGCCUCAUAUAAUUCAAUGAUCUUCUUCAACUUUUGUCUGCUCGUGGAUUAGCCAGUGAGAAAAAUAUGGAGUCAUCAGCAAAUAAAAGAUGAUUGACUGAUGGUGCUUGAUUGGAGAUCUUAAUUCCGAGUAAAGACCGAUCCGCCAUUGCUCUAUUCAUUAAGUGUGAUAGAACUUCUGCACAGAGUAUAAAAAGGUAUGGAUCAAUUGAGCUUGUCCCAUACCAUUCCAGCCUCUAUACACUGUAUUUGAGAAACCAUCUUUGUCUGCCAUUCUAUAAUCAAAACGAAAAUUUCGUCUUGGUUCUUCUUUUUCCGCAGCAAUAUAAGUCACAAGAGGUCGAUGGUCUGAUUCUCCUAUUUCAAGAAACUUUGUUUUAGAAGCAGGGUAAGCUUCUAACCACUCCGUAUUUGCCAUUUUCCUAUCUACACAGCAUUGAAACUUAUGAGUUCCUCUUUGACCAAUCCACAAAAACCUGUCUCCCACUGAAUUGAGGUCCAUCAUAUCAUUAUUUAUCACCAAGGUAUGGAAGUCAUGGAAAGAAGCCUCUGCUCUAACUCGUCCUCCUAUCUUCUCAUUAUUGCCAAGGAUUUCAUUGAAAUCUCCAACUAUAAGCCAUGGUUGAUUCCGUCUAUUUAGUCAUAUUCUUUCAAUUCUCUCCCAAACUUGAUUUCUGAGAGUAAGGUUGGGAUUACCAUACACCAAAGAAAAAUAGAAAUCACCUUCAUUGCAACUGACAGUACAAUCGAUGAUAUUAGGAGAUUAACUUAAAACAGACAACUGUACAUGUGAUUUCCAAAAGAUGGACAAACCACUACUAGAACCUAUGGGAGGAACUGAAACACAAGAAGGGAAAUUCAAUUGAGCACCAACGUCACGAACAUAAUUAUUAGCUUGCUUCAUCUCUGAAAGGCAUAUGAUGUCCAGGAGAUACAACCUGUUGAUCUCCUUAAGGCGUCGAACUGUCAAGUCAAUGCCUAGACCUACAGUUUCAACAGGUUAUCCUCAUGGUGGCUUUGGUGGUUCAGGGCCCACCGCGCCUCUCACUGUGGUGUUAUCCUCUUUCGCUUCAGCUGAUGCUUCAGAGGUAUCCGGAUCACUGCAUUCUUCCUUCUGUCUCUUACUCCUCUUCGGGCCACUAGAUUCACCUCUUUCCAAACGGUUGAACAUGAGCUUGUUGCCCUCAACGGAUUCCAUCCAGCUUUUCCUCUUCAGCAGUUCCUUGCCAUCACGUCGCGUACCAAACGGGUUUAUAGGAUUGUUCAUUUUCUCAUUAUUCAACUCAUCGGAAUACAUCGUUUGCAUAGCUUGAUUACUCCACAACUCAUCAUACUCAUUUGCAUUCUCCUCAUGGAGAUCAUCUUCUUCUUCUUCAACUUUCUCUUGUACAUUCUCUUCUUGGACAACAUUUGCAUCACCAUUAGGCUCCACUUCAUGAAUUUCUUCAAUGAUCACCCCACGGUUUGGUACAUCAUGCUCUCCUCCAUUGUUUCCAUCACUGUCCUCAUCAUCUCCAUCAUGAUUUAAGUUCCCAUUCUGAACCAAGCAGGCGCCCAAAUCAUGUGUAAGUCGUCCACAAACUUCACAGAAGCAACAAAGUCUUUCAAAAGUGAAGCGCAAGAGAUUAUGUCUUUGUCUCUCUCUCAAAUUUCUGGUUUUUUUAUACGACGAACACAUAAAUCUCCAUCACAUAGCUUCAAUCACCUCUACAUGUACAACCAGCACAUCCAUCGGCAUCAUUUGUUUCAUCGUCGCCACCGUAUUCGCUCCGUCAUUGUCUCCGUAAUUUUUACUUUUCUUCUUUCUUGAGAAGUUGAAUCGUUUGAUUCUCAUAUUUGGGAGAGCGCAGUGAGACGGAUACGAUUAUCAAAGUUUAUUUUUGCAGCAGUAUAGCGUCUUCACAUUCUUGGUGGGUGACUGAAGGGAGGGUUUCUCUGAUUGUGAAAUCGAUGGUGUCUUGUCUGACAGAAGAGGAGAGGCGGAAACGUGAAGUAACAUCGGCCAAUUCUUCUUCCUAGAUGCGUCUUGUUGUUUUCUACCUCUUUGUUACUAUACUAUUUUAUCAUGUUCCAUUCCAUUUGACGAUUAAUAAAGAGAGUUCUAUUUUGUUUAGAAAUAUAGUUUGUAAUUUUCUUAAUGUCUAACUAUCGUUACUUGUUUUUGAAUCUGUAAAAUUCGUACUAUGAUCUAUAUUGUAUAGUUUAAUAUUAUAUAAUAUAAUUUAAUAUUACAUAAUAAUGUGUAUAUUUUUAUAUUUUGAUAUUUGGGUUUAGGGUUUAGAAAUUACGGUUUAGGGUUUAGUUUUAGAAGGUGAGGGGUAUGGUUGGAGUCAUCAUUAACUUUUUUCAUACAAUUAUAGACAUUUCAUAAUGUCACCAGUAUGUACUAUGUUAUUUAUUUUGUUCUAUUUAAUUUGGGUUUAGGAUUUAUAUUUGGGUUUAUGGUUUGUAUUUGGGUUUAGGGUUUAGUGAUUAUGUUUUAGGAUUUAGUAUUUAGCGAUUGGAUGAGGUUGGGAUAAAGUUUAAUAUCUAGAUUAUAGGGGUUGAGAUAGAGUUGAUUUCCUAUACUAUUUUAAAAAUAUGAAUAUG
rnacentral:lncRNA from 1 species